rnacentral:rRNA from 1 species
CCUACGGGCGGCAGCAGUGGGGAAUAUUGGGCAAUGGGCGCAAGCCUGACCCAGCAACGCCGCGUGAAGGAAGACGGCUUUCGGGUUGUAAACUUCCUUUGAUAGGGAAGAGUAGAAGACGGUACCUGUCGAAUAAGCUACGGCUAACUACGUGCCAGCAGCCGCGGUAAUACGUAGGUGGCAAGCGUUGUCCGGAUUUACUGGGUGUAAAGGGCGUGUAGCCGGGUUGACAAGUCAGAUGUGAAAUCCUGCGGCUUAACCGGAGAACUGCAUUUGAUACUGUUGAUCUUGAGUACAGGAGAGGCAGACGGAAUUCGUGGUGUAGCGGUGAAAUGCGUAGAUAUUAGGAAGAACACCGAUGGCGAAGGCAGUCUACUAAACUGCAACUGACGGUGAGGCGCGAAAGCGUGGGGAGCAAACAGGAUUAGAUACCCGUGUAGUC